rnacentral:rRNA from 1 species
GGGGAAUAUUGGACAAUGGGGGCAACCCUGAUCCAGCCAUGCCGCGUGUGUGAAGAAGGCUUUCGGGUUGUAAAGCACUUUCAGCGAGGAGGAAGGCUCUGAAGUUAAUACCUUCAGGGAUUGACGUUACUCGCAGAAGAAGCACCGGCUAACUCCGUGCCAGCAGCCGCGGUAAUACGGAGGGUGCAAGCGUUAAUCGGAAUUACUGGGCGUAAAGCGCGCGUAGGUGGUUAGGUAAGCGAGAUGUGAAAGCCCCGGGCUUAACCUGGGAACGGCAUUUCGAACUGUCUGACUAGAGUGUGGUAGAGGGUAGUGGAAUUUCCUGUGUAGCGGUGAAAUGCGUAGAUAUAGGAAGGAACACCAGUGGCGAAGGCGGCUACCUGGACCAACACUGACACUGAGGUGCGAAAGCGUGGGGAGCAAAC